rnacentral:rRNA from 1 species
UACGGAGGGUGCAAGCGUUAUCCGGAAUCACUGGGCGUAAAGGGCGCGUAGGCGGUCUGUUGAGUUUGGCGUUAGAGCCUGGGGCUCAACCCCAGAUCAGCGUUGGAUACUGGCAGGCUAGACGGCUGGAGAGGCGAGUGGAAUUACCAGUGUAGCGGUGGAAUGCGUAGAUACUGGUAGGAACACCCAUUGCGAAGGCAGCUCGCUGGACAGCACGUGACGCUGAGGCGCGAAAGUGUGGGGAGCAAACCGGAUUAGA